rnacentral:tRNA from 1 species
AAAAAAUUAGUUAAUUAUUAUAACAUAAAUUUGUCAAAUUUAAAUAACUAUUAGUUAGUAUUUUUUA